CCUACGGGAGACAGCAGUGGGGGAUAUUGCACAAUGGGGGAAACCCUGAUGCAGCGACGCCGCGUGAGUGAAGAAGGAUUUCGGGAUGGAAAGCUCUAUCAGCAGGGAAGAAAAUGACAGUACCUGAGCAAGAAGCCACGGCUAACUACGUGCCAGCAGCCGCGGUAAUACGUAGGGGGCAAGCGUUAUCCGGAUUGACGGGGUGUAAAGGGAGCGUAGACGGUUAGGUAAGUCUGGAGUGAAAGCCCGGGGCCCCACCCCGGGACUGCUUGGGAAACUGUGUAACUGGAGUCCAGGAGGGGCAGGCGGACUUCCUGUUGUAGCGGUCACUUGCGUAGAUCUCAGGCGGAACCCCGGCGGCGACGGCGGCCUGCUGUACUGCACCUGACGUUGCGGCUCGACUGCGUGGGUCUCAAACAGGCUUCGAUACCCGAGUAGUC
rnacentral:rRNA from 1 species